GCGUGAAGUGUCAAACGGAAGAGCACGUUGCUUCGAGAGUUCGUUUAGGCGCGUAGUACUGUGGUCACACGGUGCUCUUUCCUUGACCCAGAUUUUCCGUCCACGAAGGCGCCCAUUUCUAUGAGAAAAAUCGCGGCAAACUAGCGUACUCGAUUAUUUCAAAGUCGUACGGAAAAUAAGUGGAUGGGGGUUAAGGGGGGAGGGGAGGAGGAAUGAAGUAAGAGUAGUAGGAGUCGCAGCAGUCAGUAGUAGUAGUAGUAGUAGUAGUAGUAGUAGUAGUAGUAGUAAGAGGAGGAAGAAGAGGAGGAGGAGAAGGAAGAAAUAACGAAAAUUAGCCGUGGACUUGCGGCGAUAAGGAGCGGAGGAUUCAGCCGGCUCCGGACAUGCGGAGAGAGAGACUGUGGCGCCGAGGCGUAGAAAGACGGCGGGCGCCGGACACAAGAAAGAAAAAUGAGUUAACGAUUGCAUAAGGAAUCGUUGAACAAAUUUAGAACGCGCGUCAUCGGAUGGACCCCAGCGAAACGGCACAUGAGAGGACGUUGAUCGCGGGUGGUGUAUGGAAACGGGCCCAAGGUUACCAAAUGGAGACUGCCCAAAAACCCAAAUACAUACAAUUAUAUCGGACGAUUGGGCACGAGCUAUGUAUAUGUCUAGCAACGAAUCUCCUUUGCUUGCGAAAGGACCAUCCCACUACGAUCACCAUCAUCAGGCAUUAACUUUCGUUACAGUAUACAAGUCUCAAGGUCAUUUUCUUAAAAUUCAUCGUUACGUUAGAUAGAUCAUAUUGAAUGUCGUUAACCAAUAUCGAUUUAAUCGAUCGUGAAUUAAUAUAGGAUCGAUUGACUUUUCGUCCUAUGACAUCGUAGAAAAGUAACAUCCGAAUAUAUCGUGAUGAAUACAUAUAUACAUAUAUAUAUAUAUAUAUGUACAUACUCACUUUAUAUACUUAGGAAUAAAGUGAUCGUAUAAGAAGCAUCGUAGAAGAAAAACUCUAUAGGUUUGUUACAUCAUAGGUAACCUUGGUUCCGGCGUAAACAACUUCUAGAAAGCAAGUUCAAACGCCUGUCAAACUGCUGAACACAUUCUAUAGUACGUGUAUAAAUACCCCAGGAUAUAUCUGAAAGUUCGUUGCCCAGCGACGUUUCGUGUAUUUCUUUCUUUCUAUUUCUUCUGAUUGUUUUUUUCUUUUCCCCCUUUAUUUUUUUUUUUUUUGACUUUUCUCUUGGAAUUAUAAUAUAACAAUAAACGGAAUAAGAAAAUGAAAAUGGUGAAAGAGAUAAUGACGAAGUAAAUAGAUAAUGAUGAAGAAGAACAGAAAGAUCGCUUCCACUUUAAUGAAAAUGAAACGAACGUGAUACGAUACGUAAUGACAAAGAGAAGAAGAAUAAGAAUAAUAAUAAGAAUAAAAAGAAGUAGAAGAAGAAGAAGAAGAAGAAGAAAAAGAAAAAGAGGAAGAAAAAGGAGAAGAUGGAAAAGGUGAAAGAGGUGGAGAUGAUGAUGAUGAUGAUGAUAAUGGUGGUGGAGGUGUAUACGAAGGGAUAACAAAAAAAAAAGAGAUAGAAAAGGAUAGAGAACGUAGUAGUGCGACGCACGUCGUCUUAUCGGAAGCGACGCAGGUGUCCUCCGUUAAGAGAAUACUCAGCGAAAGGCGAAAGGGUUAACGAUCUUCCUCUUUCCGUGUACAAGUACGGGAAUGAGAUAGGACGCGUGCGUUCGCGCGAACGCACGCGCACGCUCCUCUUGUCUUCUCUUUUGCUUUUUCUUUUUCUUCUUCUUCUUCUCCUACUACUACUACUACAACUACUACUACUAUUACUACUAUUAUUAUUACUACUACUACUACUUCUUCUUCUUCUUCUUCUUCUUCUUCUCUUUUUUUCUUCUUUUUCUUUUUCUUUUUCUUCUUCGUCUUCUCUUCGUCGACGUUCCAGGAUGACGAGCUUCUUGCUAAUCGCCGGUGUCGCUGGCCGCGCUCGAGGUCUCCUUGUAAGAUUCCAACGUGUGCGUCACGCGAUUCUACGUCUCUCUUGGAACGUACGACAACGACGACGACGACGACGACGACGACGACGACGACGACGACGACGACGACGAUGAAGACGAUGAAGACGAUGAAGACGAUGAAGACGAUGAAGACGAUGGCAAAUUCGCGCAUAUUUCAAAAGAAAAAGAAAGGAAAGGUGGAUUGCGGAUAGCGAUGGAAAAAGGGAGGGAGACGUGGAGAAUGCCACUCGGGUGAGAAUGGAAAAACGAAGGAGAUCCGAUAUAUAUAUAUAUAGAUAGGGAGAGAGUGAGAGUAAGAGAGAAAACUACGACGACAAGGAACGUGGGAAGAACAGAGAGGAAAUGGUUAUCGAGAAGAAUUCGUCGAGUGGUUCUCCUCUUCGAGGCUUCGGCCAUUCAUAUCGAGCGCACCGGAGAAGAGUCUUUUUCUUUGUCCCUUUUUUCCCUUCUCUUUCUUCUUUUUUUUUUUUUGACCUUUUUCUUUCCUUUUUCUUUUUCUUUUUUUUUGACCUUUUUCUUUCCUCUUUUUUUCUUUUUUUUUUUAUCGCUCCACAAUUCACACAAGCCUCCCCUCACUCUCACUCUCUCUAUCUCUCUCUCUCUCUUCUCCCUCUCUUCCUUCUUCUUCUUCUUCUUUUCCUUCUUGUCUUCUACUUACUGGCACACGGACUUUCACCGAUUUUUUUUUUCAACGAUUCAGCGAAACGCUGAGAUUACAUUCUCUUCUUUAAAAACGAUACGCAUCAUUCUAUUUUUUUAUUACGUAUGCACGUACAGUUUAUGAUUCACUUAUCAAUAAUACGCUUUUAACGUUCGUAAUAUACAAAUUCCACUUUCAAAGUGAUAAAUUUUCAAAGAUAAUAGAGACGCGAGGUCUUUUCAAUGUCGCGCAAAUGGAUGACUAAGAUCGGGAUAUUUUCCCCUUUAUAAUAUGCGAAAUCUGUGUUAUGUUAAACGCGAUUAAUUGGUAUCAUGUUCUAAUAAUAGUUCGAUCGGAAAUGACGUUGUUGAUUCGUUAUAGACUACAUAUAUUCUCGUUUAAUCGAAUUCAAGUUUUAUCCAAUAACAAUAAGAAAAUUAUAUGGAUGUAACUGUAACAUUUUUCUUGUUUUUCUUUUUUUAUAUAUAUAUAUAUAAUAAUUUUCUUCUUUUGUUUCUCUCUCUCUCUCUCUC